CGCGCAGGCGGUCGUCCAAGUCGCGUGUGAAAGCCCCCCGGCUCAACUGGGGAGGGUCACGCGAUACUGAUCGACUCGAAGGCAGGAGAGGGUAGUGGAAUUCCCGGUGUAGUGGUGAAAUGCGUAGAUAUCGGGAGGAACACCAGUGGCGAAGGCGACUACCUGGCCUGUUCUUGACGCUGAGGCGCGAAAGCUAGGGGAGGCAAACG
rnacentral:rRNA from 1 species